rnacentral:rRNA from 1 species
GACGAACGCUGGCGGCGUGCUUAACACAUGCGAGUCGAGCGGAAAGGCCCUUCGGGGUCCUCGAGCGGCGAACGGGUGAGUAACACGUGAGUAACCUGCCCCAGACUUUGGGAUAACCCUCGGAAACGGGGGCUAAUACCGGAUACGACACAGCUUCGCAUGGGGUCUGUGUGGAAAGUUUUUCGGUUUGGGAUGGGCUCGCGGCCUAUCAGCUUGUUGGUGGGGCGAUGGCCUACCAAGGCGACGACGGGUAGCCGGCCUGAGAGGGCGACCGGCCACACUGGGACUGAGACACGGCCCAGACUCCUACGGGAGGCAGCAGUGGGGAAUAUUGCACAAUGGGCGGAAGCCUGAUGCAGCGACGCCGCGUGAGGGAUGACGGCCUUCGGGUUGUAAACCUCUUUCAGCAGGGACGAAGCGUAAGUGACGGUACCUGCAGAAGAAGCGCCGGCCAACUACGUG